AGUGAACGCUGGCGGUAGGCCUAACACAUGCAAGUCGAACGGCAGCACAGUAAGAGCUUGCUCUUACGGGUGGCGAGUGGCGGACGGGUGAGGAAUACAUCGGAAUCUACUUUUUCGUGGGGGAUAACGUAGGGAAACUUACGCUAAUACCGCAUACGACCUACGGGUGAAAGCAGGGGAUCUUCGGACCUUGCGCGAUUGAAUGAGCCGAUGUCGGAUUAGCUAGUUGGCGGGGUAAAGGCCCACCAAGGCAACGAUGCGUAGCUGCCCUGAGAGGAUGGUCGGCAACAGGGGAAAGGAGACACGGUGCAGAGCCAGAGGAGGGGGAGCAUGCGGGAAGGGUCCGGAAUGGGCUGAAGCCGGACGGAGCAUCGCAGGGAGAGUGAUGAAGGUCUUCGGAUCGUAAAACUCUGUUAUUAGGGAAAAACAUAUGUGUAAGUAACUGUGCACAGCUGGACCGUCCCUAAUCAGAAAGCCACGGCUAACUACGGG
rnacentral:rRNA from 1 species